rnacentral:rRNA from 1 species
AUCUUGCGCAAUGCGCGAAAGCGUGACGCAGCAACGCCGCGUGAGGGAAGACGGCCUUCGGGUUGUAAACCUCUUUCAGGAGGGACGAAGGUUCAGGCGCGAAUAGCGUCCUGGACUGACGGUACCUCCAGAAGAAGCUCCGGCUACCUACGUGCCAGCAGCCGCGGUAAUACGUAGGGAGCAAGCGUUGUCCGGAAUCAUUGGGCGUAAAGCGCGCGUAGGCGGCCCUGUAAGUCCGCUCUGAAAGUCAAAGGCUCAACCUUUGAAAGCGGGUGGAUACUGCAGGGCUAGAGUCCGGAAGAGGCGAGUGGAACUCCUGGUGUAGCGGUGGAAUGCGCAGAUAUCAGGAAGAACACCAACGGCGAAGGCAGCUCGCUGGGACGGUACUGACGCUAAGGCGCGAAAGCGUGGGGAGCGAAC